GUGGGGAAUAUUCCGCAAUGGACGAAAGUCUGACGGAGCAACGCCGCGUGAGUGAUGAAGGUUUUCGGACUGUAAAGCUCUGUUGUUUAGGACGAAAGUGCCUGCUGCGAACAGUUGCAGGUAUUGACGGUACUGAACGAGGAAGCCACGGCUAACUACGUGCCAGCAGCCGCGGUAAUACGUAGGUGGCAAGCGUUGUCCGGAAUUAUUGGGCGUAAAGAGCAUGUAGGCGGGAAUCUAAGUCUGUUGUGAAAAUGCGGGGCUCAACCCCGUAUGGCGAUGGAAACUGGAUUUCUUGAGUGCAGGAGAGGAAAGGGGAAUUCCCAGUGUAGCGGUGAAAUGCGUAGAUAUUGGGAGGAACACCAGUGGCGAAGGCGCCUUUCUGGACUGUGUCUGACGCUGAGAUGCGAAAGCCAGGGUAGCGAACGGGAUUAGAAACCCCAGUAGUCC
rnacentral:rRNA from 1 species